GUGCCAGCAGCCGCGGUAAUACGAAGGGGGCUAGCGUUGUUCGGAAUCACUGGGCGUAAAGCGCACGUAGGCGGAUUGUUAAGUCAGGGGUGAAAUCCCGAGGCUCAACCUCGGAACUGCCUUUGAUACUGGCGAUCUAGAGUCCGGGAGAGGUGAGUGGAACUGCGAGUGUAGAGGUGAAAUUCGUAGAUAUUCUCAGGAACACCAGUGGCGAAGGCGGCGCCAUGGCCCGGAACUGACGCUGAGG
rnacentral:rRNA from 1 species